rnacentral:rRNA from 1 species
UACGAAGGGAGCUAGCGUUGUUCGGAAUCACUGGGCGUAAAGCGCACGUAGGCGGACGUGUCAGUCAGGGGUGAAAUCCCGGAGCUCAACUUCGGAACUGCCUUUGAUACAGCACGUCUUGAGUCCGGAAGAGGUGGGUGGAAUUCCUAGUGUAGAGGUGAAAUUCGUAGAUAUUAGGAAGAACACCGGUGGCGAAGGCGGCCCACUGGUCCGGUACUGACGCUGAAGUGCGAAAGCGUGGGGAGCAAACAGG